UACAUUUCUUUUGGAAAUGAGUUAAGAGAGAGUAAUUCAAAUCAACUAUAAAAUUUCAUACACAAGAAGCAUAAACCAAAAGUUUGUGACAUACACAUGAUUCACUACGACGAGCAGCAACCAAACUUGCUUCUUCCGGAUACAACUUCUUGACUCGGAACAACAAUAUCCGUCCCCUUAAGAAGAGCAGAACUCCCCUCGGAUUCCUCGUUAGCGACAAGAGACUUUUUACUAACUGUUCGAUAAAUCUCCGUAAGAAUAGUGAGAAAUGCAGGCUCUACAUUUGUAGCUUCAAGCGCAGAUGUUUCCAUGAAAAACAAACCUUCUCUUUCCGCAAAUUCUUUUGCAUCAUCGGUUGAUACCUCGCGUUGAGAAUCCAAGUCAGAUUUGUUUCCUAUGAGCAUAAUGACGAUGUUGUUAUCGGCAUGGCCACGUAAUUCCUCUAGCCACCUGGCAAUGUGAUCAAACGAUUGACGUUUGCUUAUGUCAUACACCAACAUUGCUCCCACUGCUCCUCUGUAAUAGGCACUAGUUACAGCGCGGUACCUGUUUGAGCUGGAAAGCUUGCUGACAGCGUCGCUGGUUCAGUGGAGAUGUUGGGAAAAGUAUCCCAAAUCUGAGCUUUAACAUUCUUAUGAUCGAUCACCAUCGUCUUCGUCUGGAACUCAACACCAAUGGUAGCUUUCGAAUCCAAACUGAACUCAUUUCUUGAAAAUCUAGCCAACAGUUGAGAUUUUCCCACAGCAGAAUCCCCAAUUAGUACGAUCUUGAACACGUAAUCGAUCUUUUGACUGAAAUCCCCGUGAUAAUUCGACAUCUCUCAUCAAUU
rnacentral:lncRNA from 1 species